UCGUAACAAGGUCUCCGUUGGUGAACCAGCGGAGGGAUCAUUACAGAGUUGCAAAACUCCCUAAACCAUUGUGAACGUUACCUAUACCGUUGCUUCGGCGGGCGGCCCCGGGGUUUACCCCCCGGGCGCCCCUGGGCCCCACCGCGGGCGCCCGCCGGAGGUCACCAAACUCUUGAUAAUUUAUGGCCUCUCUGAGUCUUCUGUACUGAAUAAGUCAAAACUUUCAACAACGGAUCUCUUGGUUCUGGCAUCGAUGAAGAACGCAGCGAAAUGCGAUAAGUAAUGUGAAUUGCAGAAUUCAGUGAAUCAUCGAAUCUUUGAACGCACAUUGCGCCCGCCAGCAUUCUGGCGGGCAUGCCUGUUCGAGCGUCAUUUCAACCAUCAAGCCCCCGGGCUUGUGUUGGGGACCUGCGGCUGCCGCAGGCCCUGAAAAGCAGUGGCGGGCUCGCUGUCGCACCGAGCGUAGUAGCAUACAUCUCGCUCUGGUCGCGCCGCGGGUUCCGGCCGUUAAACCACCUUUUUAACCCAAGGUUGACCUCGGAUCAGGUAGGAAGACCCGCUGAACUUAAGCAUAUCAAUAA
rnacentral:misc_RNA from 1 species